CCCGACUCACAGCUGCACAGGGUCUGAGCAGCAAUGGCACAAACCCGGGACCCAGGGCUUUAAGCCUGGUCCAACAAAUGAAAUGGUGGUAUUGUCAGCUAGGCCCAAGGAGAGAAGAUUGGCAGAAGGCAUCAGGAGCAACCUGUAUAAAGCUGCCUGUAACCUGACCUGUUGCCUUCCAGACAUGUCAGUUCUACGGGUGAAGGAUAUUUACGAAGGCAUGUCGAAAGAAACUGCUCCUUUAAUAGCCACCAUGGGGAUUUCAGGGGAUGUGCCUUUAGUUGACAGCGCUUUUGGAAAAGUCCAAGAAGGGAGUUUACUGUCCUAUCA